GCGCCCAACUAGCGGCACCAGCCACGUCUCCUUUUAUUCGCCACUGUAGCAACGCGGAGAGAGCUCGUCCCCUCCUCUGCCCCCCUCCACUUCUCCCCUCCUCUGCCCCUCUGCCCCCCUCCACUUCUCUCCUCCUCUGCCCCCGCGUCCGUCCCGGCGGCAGCAACUUGCAGGCAAAGGGCGACGGCGGUCAAGGCGGGGGUUGGCGGCAGCUGGAAGGGCCGCAGCGGCCUGUGGGGCGUCGACCAAACCGGCAGUGACCCCGAUGGAGGGGAAGGGCCCGGCAGGCGCCACGGCAGCGCACGCGAGGGGCGGAGGCGAGCGACCCUCUGGAGCCGCGCACGUUGAUAGAUUCCAGAUCGGGCGCGGGUCGAGCAGGAGCGGCUGCUGCAGAGAGGGCAGCAGAGGAACACAUCAUGCUGAGCUCCUGCCCCUGUGGCUACCCGCAGAGGAGGAGAGGUUGAAUAUGGCUCCCAGUUCAUGGCAGAGAGGCCGACACAAAUAUUGUUUGGGUGACGGUUGAUUCCUACACCGAGUCGUCUUUCUAUACAAAUAGCUCUCUUAUUUGGUGGUGCCAUGGUGUCCCUCUCCAGCCUUUUCUUGCGCAGGUUCUGCAGCGGGCAAUGCUCCAGUUAAGAGUUGGGUGCAUAGCAUAUAUAUACGUAUGUUGCCACGUCUGAAUAAACGGAGAGGAGCAGCAGCGGAGAGGAGAUCUUGCUGAGUAACCAUAAUUGUUUGAAGAUUAGCAGAUUUCUCUGAAUGUGCAAGCAGCCAUUGCUACCAAAAGAGAAUGAAAGUAGUGCAAAGGGCCAAUGUUGCAUAGCCUUUACCCACUCUGCACUGUCGUAACAUCUCAAGUAGCGACUACUCCCGGUACAUCUUCUGUUGAUCACGAGCAACACCAAGAGAUAUCUUUGCUAUUUGCAGUGGCUUGUUGGGUUUGAAGGAUGAAGCAAAUCCCAAGGAAGGAACAUGUUAACCUAUCUUGAUGCGUACUGCUGCUCUUGAUACGCAUCAAGAUUUGAUUUAGAUGAAGCUAAUAAUGAAAAGUGUCAUCAGUGUGCUGUUAUAUGUAUUAUCGACCAAUACAUGUCUAGCAUUACUCGGAUAACAUUUCAUUAAUAGAAAAUUGUUUAAUGUGGAUUUCC